CAGUCGCCGCGGUAAUACGGAGGGGGCUAGCGUUGUUCGGAAUUACUGGGCGUAAAGCGCGCGUAGGCGGCUUGGUAAGUUAGAGGUGAAAGCCUGGGGCUCAACCCCAGAAUUGCCUUUAAGACUGCCGAGCUAGUAGGUGAGAGAGGUAAGUGGAAUUCCGAGUGUAGAGGUGAAAUUCGUAGAUAUUCGGAAGAACACCAGUGGCGAAGGCGGCUUACUGGCUCAUUCUAGACGCUGAGGUGCGAAAGCGUGGGGAGCAAACAGGAUUAGAUACCCCCGUAGUCCCUGUCUCUUAUAC
rnacentral:rRNA from 1 species